AAAACGGCCCUUUUCAGGGCCACCAAUCGUGUUGUUUUCUCAAAC
rfam:Asian citrus Psyllid, Diaphorina citri - Florida Strain, whole genome shotgun sequence.